AGGACGAACGCUGGCGGCGUGCUUAACACAUGCAAGUCGAGCGAACCUUCGGGUUAGCGGCGAACGGGUGAGUAACACGUGGGCAACCUGCCCCGAGCUCUGGGAUAACUCCGGGAAACCGGGGCUAAUACCGGAUAUGACACCGAUCGACAUCUGUCGGUGUGGAAAGUUUUUCGGCUCGGGAUGGGCCCGCGGCCUAUCAGCUUGUUGGUGAGGUAACGGCUCACCAAGGCGACGACGGGUAG
rnacentral:rRNA from 1 species